rnacentral:rRNA from 1 species
GGUUAAGCGACUAAGCGUACACGGUGGAUGCCCUGGCAGUCAGAGGCGAUGAAGGACGUGCUAAUCUGCGAUAAGCGUCGGUGAGGUGAUAUGAACCGUUAUAACCGGCGAUUUCCGAAUGGGGAAACCCAGUGUGUUUCGACACACUAUCAUUAACUGAAUCCAUAGGUUAAUGAGGCGAACCGGGGGAACUGAAACAUCUAAGUACCCCGAGGAAAAGAAAUCAACCGAGAUUCCCCCAGUAGCGGCGAGCGAACGGGGAGGAGCCCAGAGCCUGAAUCAGUGUGUGUGUUAGUGGAAGCGUCUGGAAAGGCGUGCGAUACAGGGUGACAGCCCCGUACACAAAAAUGCACAUAUUGUGAGCUCGAUGAGUAGGGCGGGACACGUGGUAUCCUGUCUGAAUAUGGGGGGACCAUCCUCCAAGGCUAAAUACUCCUGACUGACCGAUAGUGAACCAGUACCGUGAGGGAAAGGCGAAAAGAACCCCGGCGAGGGGAGUGAAAAAGAACCUGAAACCGUGUACGUACAAGCAGUGGGAGCCUCUUAAUGGGGUGACUGCGUACCUUUUGUAUAAUGGGUCAGCGACUUAUAUUCUGUAGCAAGGUUAACCGAAUAGGGGAGCCGAAGGGAAACCGAGUCUUAACUGGGCGUUAAGUUGCAGGGUAUAGACCCGAAACCCGGUGAUCUAGCCAUGGGCAGGUUGAAGGUUGGGUAACACUAACUGGAGGACCGAACCGACUAAUGUUGAAAAAUUAGCGGAUGACUUGUGGCUGGGGGUGAAAGGCCAAUCAAACCGGGAGAUAGCUGGUUCUCCCCGAAAGCUAUUUAGGUAGCGCCUCGUGAAUUCAUCUCCGGGGGUAGAGCACUGUUUCGGCAAGGGGGUCAUCCCGACUUACCAACCCGAUGCAAACUGCGAAUACCGGAGAAUGUUAUCACGGGAGACACACGGCGGGUGCUAACGUCCGUCGUGAAGAGGGAAACAACCCAGACCGCCAGCUAAGGUCCCAAAGUCAUGGUUAAGUGGGAAACGAUGUGGGAAGGCCCAGACAGCCAGGAUGUUGGCUUAGAAGCAGCCAUCAUUUAAAGAAAGCGUAAUAGCUCACUGGUCGAGUCGGCCUGCGCGGAAGAUGUAACGGGGCUAAACCAUGCACCGAAGCUGCGGCAGCGACACUAUGUGUUGUUGGGUAGGGGAGCGUUCUGUAAGCCUGUGAAGGUGGCCUGUGAGGGUUGCUGGAGGUAUCAGAAGUGCGAAUGCUGACAUAAGUAACGAUAAAGCGGGUGAAAAGCCCGCUCGCCGGAAGACCAAGGGUUCCUGUCCAACGUUAAUCGGGGCAGGGUGAGUCGACCCCUAAGGCGAGGCCGAAAGGCGUAGUCGAUGGGAAACAGGUUAAUAUUCCUGUACUUGGUGUUACUGCGAAGGGGGGACGGAGAAGGCUAUGUUGGCCGGGCGACGGUUGUCCCGGUUUAAGCGUGUAGGCUGGUUUUCCAGGCAAAUCCGGAAAACCAAGGCUGAGGCGUGAUGACGAGGCACUACGGUGCUGAAGCGACAAAUGCCCUGCUUCCAGGAAAAGCCUCUAAGCAUCAGGUAACAUCAAAUCGUACCCCAAACCGACACAGGUGGUCAGGUAGAGAAUACCAAGGCGCUUGAGAGAACUCGGGUGAAGGAACUAGGCAAAAUGGUGCCGUAACUUCGGGAGAAGGCACGCUGAUAUGUAGGUGAAGCGACUUGCUCGUGGAGCUGAAAUCAGUCGAAGAUACCAGCUGGCUGCAACUGUUUAUUAAAAACACAGCACUGUGCAAACACGAAAGUGGACGUAUACGGUGUGACGCCUGCCCGGUGCCGGAAGGUUAAUUGAUGGGGUUAGCGGCAACGCGAAGCUCUUGAUCGAAGCCCCGGUAAACGGCGGCCGUAACUAUAACGGUCCUAAGGUAGCGAAAUUCCUUGUCGGGUAAGUUCCGACCUGCACGAAUGGCGUAAUGAUGGCCAGGCUGUCUCCACCCGAGACUCAGUGAAAUUGAACUCGCUGUGAAGAUGCAGUGUACCCGCGGCAAGACGGAAAGACCCCGUGAACCUUUACUAUAGCUUGACACUGAACAUUGAGCCUUGAUGUGUAGGAUAGGUGGGAGGCUUUGAAGUGUGGACGCCAGUCUGCAUGGAGCCGACCUUGAAAUACCACCCUUUAAUGUUUGAUGUUCUAACGUUGGCCCGUAAUCCGGGUUGCGGACAGUGUCUGGUGGGUAGUUUGACUGGGGCGGUCUCCUCCUAAAGAGUAACGGAGGAGCACGAAGGUUGGCUAAUCCUGGUCGGACAUCAGGAGGUUAGUGCAAUGGCAUAAGCCAGCUUGACUGCGAGCGUGACGGCGCGAGCAGGUGCGAAAGCAGGUCAUAGUGAUCCGGUGGUUCUGAAUGGAAGGGCCAUCGCUCAACGGAUAAAAGGUACUCCGGGGAUAACAGGCUGAUACCGCCCAAGAGUUCAUAUCGACGGCGGUGUUUGGCACCUCGAUGUCGGCUCAUCACAUCCUGGGGCUGAAGUAGGUCCCAAGGGUAUGGCUGUUCGCCAUUUAAAGUGGUACGCGAGCUGGGUUUAGAACGUCGUGAGACAGUUCGGUCCCUAUCUGCCGUGGGCGCUGGAGAACUGAGGGGGGCUGCUCCUAGUACGAGAGGACCGGAGUGGACGCAUCACUGGUGUUCGGGUUGUCAUGCCAAUGGCACUGCCCGGUAGCUAAAUGCGGAAGAGAUAAGUGCUGAAAGCAUCUAAGCACGAAACUUGCCCCGAGAUGAGUUCUCCCUGAGACUUAGAGUCUCCUGAAGGAACGUUGAAGACGACGACGUUGAUAGGCCGGGUGUGUAAGCGCAGCGAUGCGUUGAGCUAACCGGUACUAAUGAACCGUGAGGCUUAACCUU